UAAAGGGAGUUUCUUUAGUUAACGUGGCGCAGUAAACACGUGGCUGCCCUGCAGGAGCAGAACCCACUGUUCGGUUUUGGCUGUUCUUAUAUAGAAUUUCGUUUUUUCAUUGUGAUUUGAUCAAUCGACACAUUUUCAGAAAGUUGUGUAAUGAUUUUAGAGGAACCAUUUCUAGACACCACUAUUGUUCCUUUUGUUUAACGGUUUAACACGUGGACUGUAGAGCUACACCCAUCAUGGUUUAGACUGAAAGAUGACAAAAAAAGUAUUGCUGAUGGUGUCUGCAUAAAAAUGUCUCCACUGGAUGAAUUCAAUCCAACGAUGAUGGAAUAAUCCUGGGAUUAUAAUCUCUGUGGAGCAGCUGCUUGGAAGUCGAUAGAAGAUCACAGCUCAUUGAGAGACUUUGCUGAAGGAAUACAACAAUUGGAAUUCAAAUCAAGCUUUCCCAGAAUCAACAAAACGUGCCUAUGCAACAUUUGAAUGCAUCUCAUCUGUAGAAUUGACCUUUGUAUUUGAGUUAUUUUCCAAAAUAAAGUCUGAAUUGUGAAUAAA